UACUUGGACAAGGCCGAAUGACGUCUUUCACUCCUUAUCGGGUGAGUUGGGUGAGUAGGUUUGCCGGUUUGGGACCGAAGCGUGUUCUGGUGUUGCGCUGAUAAUCCCUGAUACUCACCGCUAUAGUGCCAACCCAGACGCACGACUACGUUGAAAAAUUGACAUGGUGUAUGGUGUAAAAUUAAUAAACUCUUUUUCAUUGACAGGAGACGUUAGUCUGUAACCACCAGUCAUUCAACGUUUUCUUAGUGUUUACUGUUUAAAAUGGUGGUAAAAUAUUGUUGUGUCACCGGUUGUUCAAAUACUAGCCUACUUAAGACUUGAAUUCGAUUGAAUUGAACACGAGGGAGCUGCCAACACCAUUAAGCGUAUGGUGUUGGAAGAGAGCUGGUUGAAUGGAUUGAAGAGGGAUGGAAGAGAGCCGUUGCUUUAGUCAAGAACGUCACCCAGCAUAAGGAGUGUGUUCCAUUCCGUCGUUAAUGGUUAAACAGCGGAGGUGUUGGCCGGUGUGCCUCAGGCUAACAAUUGGGUACCAUUCACGGAUGUUUUCCCAAGAAGUCUCCCAGAGUUCCUUCUGCCAUACAUGAGCAGCCCUUGCCACACAGAAGUCAUCCUGCCUGAGAAGGAAGACAUUGUUCCUAAAGUCAAGAAGGAGGAAUUUACCAAAAAAAAGAAGGUU